GAGGAAAGGUCAUUGAUGAAGCAGCUCAAGAUACCUCAACCUAGGACAUUACCUUGAAGAACUCCUGCAGAGAUAUUCUGGAGCUGCAAUCAUUAACCUCCAAAAACCAAAACCAUCUUUCUUUGUCCUAGGACGUUGCUUAUGAGUUCUGUCCAUGGUGAAUACUGACAUGGUGAAUGGCUAUUGAAGAUAUAUAAGAGAAUGUGAGGAAGAGUACAGUAAAACACACUGAAAAGCUUUCAUUUGUCACCAUGAUUCAGCACCAUUUUGAAUCAUUUAAGAAUCAGGGAAAAAAUGAAGACAUAACUUAAAGAUAGUCCAUCAGUGCUGAGCCAACUUAUCAACAUCAACAAUGCCUCCGCCAUUAUUCCUCUUCCACCACUACACCACUGUCGACACCAGAUCCAACCAACGUUAAAGUCAUCGAUCCUCAGGCACCAUCUUUCGCCACUGGACUCUUCGCCAUUGGCUCACCACCACCUGCGCCAGACCAACCAAAGUCAGAGUCAUGUCUUUCGCUGCUGGGACCACCUCAUCCAUGUUGCUGUGAUGCCCUUCCUCUGCUGCUAGCAUCAGACCGUACUAACAACAAAGUCACUGAUCCUCAGAAACCACUUUUAGCUGCUGGGCCUACCUCGCUGACAUCGCC